CCCCCAACACAACUUCAGGCCAUUUCCUUGAGUCCUGUCACUGGUCACAAGAUUGAAGAUGUCAGUGCCUGUCCCUCGUCUUCCCCUCAUGAGAAAGUUGUAGGCUUUUCCC